CACCCCCACAGCAACACACAACUGUCACACACACACUGUACAUAUACACAAGCACACCCCCACAGCAACACACAACUGCCACACACACACACACACACACACACCACUGUAAUAUACACAAGCACACUCCCACAGCAACAUGUACUUACAAACACAAAGAAAUGGAGGCUUGGAGGGCCUCGACUGAGGAAAGGAGCGUGAAAGGGAAAUGUAUUGAAGAAGUGGGUGGAGCAGUGGUUCUUACCAUUCAGGGAACCUUGGCAUUAUGGGUAACUCACUAGAACACCCAUACUGUCCCCUGUGUGCUCACCCUCAGGGUGAGGUGCUGGGAUUGCCAUUCUUAACAGUUUCUUUGGGUGGCUGUUGGGAUUGGGGACCUUUGGAGUUUUACUAUUUCUGUUUUGACCCCAUAUCUGUAAUUUGGUAGUCGGGGAUCACAAUUUUACAAAACAUUUGUACUCUAGGCUCAAUCACACACAAAACAGAGAUAAUGGUAAUUUAAUGGGUGUAAGGCUGAGCUGAUGUUCACAAACAUAUCUAGUGUAACAUUAAUUUAUCUAAGCACUCAGUUUCCUUCUUUUUUAUUUUUUCUUGGCAAGAACAAGCAUUCUUUAUUGCCUCCAUGGUCCCUUGUUAAAUUUACAUAACUUAGGUAAAACUGUUAUUUCAUUUUUUGUAUUAGAUAUUUUCUUUAUUUACAUUUC
rnacentral:lncRNA from 1 species